rnacentral:rRNA from 1 species
UACGUAGGGGGCUAGCGUUGUCCGGAAUCAUUGGGCGUAAAGGGCUCGUAGGCGGUUUGUCACGUCGGGAGUGAAAACUCAGGGCUCAACCCUGAGCGUGCUUCCGAUACGGGCAGACUAGAGGUAUGCAGGGGAGAACGGAAUUCCUGGUGUAGCGGUGGAAUGCGCAGAUAUCAGGAGGAACACCGGUGGCGAAGGCGGUUCUCUGGGCAUGACCUGACGCUGAGGAGCGAAAGCAUGGGGAGCGAACAGG